AGCGAACGCUGGCGGCAGGCUUAACACAUGCAAGUCGAACGGGCACUUCGGUGCUAGUGGCAGACGGGUGAGUAACACGUGGGAACGUACCUUUCGGUUCGGAAUAAUACAGGGAAACUUGUACUAAUACCGGAUACGCCCUUUGGGGGAAAGAUUUAUCGCCGAUUGAUCGGCCCGCGUCUGAUUAGCUAGUUGGUGAGGUAAUGGCUCACCAAGGCGACGAUCAGUAGCUGGUCUGAGAGGAUGAUCAGCCACACUGGGACUGAGACACGGCCCAGACUCCUACGGGAGGCAGCAGUGGGGAGUAUUGGACAAUGGGCGCAAGCCUGAUCCAGCCAUGCCGCGUGAGUGAUGAAGGCCUUAGGGUUGUAAAGCUCUUUUGUCCGGGAAGAUAAUGACUGUACCGGAAGAAUAAGCCCCGGCUAACUUCGUG
rnacentral:rRNA from 1 species